AAUUAACAGUAUUUUAUUAAAGUAAGCAAAACAAUACAGUCAAACAAAUAAGUUAUUUAAAUAGAACUCAUUUAUGCCUGUAGUUAAAAAAAAAAAAAGAUACAAAACUAGCUGGCUCAUUUAUAUGAAUGAGUUUAGCAUCAUCCAAAUUUAUUUUAACAGUGUUUAUAAACAUACGGACAUUUUACUUUACAAGAAGAGAACAUUCUUACUCAUGUGAACUGUACCUGGAAAAAAAGUUUGCCCAAUGCUAUCUUUAACUUAUACAUAAACAUUUUUGGAGAAAAAACCCCAAUCUUCAAGGGCAAUGGACUCAUCGAGUUUCCAAGGACAACACUGAAGAUAUAGCUCAUUAUUAUACAUAGCGUUAAAGGGAUAGUCUAAGCACCAUAACAACUUUAGCUUUAUGAAACAGUUUUAAUUAAUUCUUAAUUCUCUGCCCAUUAGGAGUAAAAUCACUUUGUUUAGGCAGCCCUAGCUGGACAUCGACUUGCUGUGACUCACACAGAAUCCAUGACAAAAAAUGGUUUAAUUUUCAAGCAGAUAUUACAUCCCAAUGUGUUUACUUUAGCAGUUCUUAACUCCUGCUCUGUAAAUGGAACAUUAGUCACACACACAAAGUUCCUACAGGCUCUAGCAGGCAGCUAAUGGAAAUUCUAAAUGAAACACACUGUUUAAUAAAAUAAAUUUAAAAAUUAGAUCUCUCUUUAUAGGAAGUGUGUAGGGAGGAGAUGUGUUGUUUUUCGCACAACCUUAUUAGAAAAUUGUAAAAAAAAUCAGAAUGGCAAAAAUUUGUGCAUAUGUUGGUUCGGCUCAUCAGAAUUUUUUCCCCAAAAGAAGAUUUGGGAAGAUGAAUCACACAAACCAAAAGGGUGCAAAAAUCUGCAAAAAAAAGUGUACUGCAAAAUAUAUACAUACUAUUACAUUUUCCUGCCACUUGGUUCACAGAACAAGCGAGAAAAAGUAGCCAAUAGGGGGAACAAGAAGAGGGCUAGUAAACAUAUAGUAUAUAAAUAUAUAUCUUUACUGCUUCUCCUUUGUUUUGCCUCUAUUGUCCACUUCCCAUUUGAUCUGUGGAUAAAAACAUUAAUGGCUGUCCCAUAGCUAUCAAUCACCUUUGUUAGUCCAGCCACCAUUUUAUCCCAUUAAUCACCUCUUUUUUUAGAGUUAUGGGCAAAGAAUCUAGCUAUAUCUAUCUAUGUAUGUAUCUAUCUAUGUAUCUAUCUAUCUACCUAUAAAUCUAUUAAAUCUAUCAACCUCUACCUCUUUUGCGGUUUGUAUAUGCAGUAUCUGUUUCUAUAUCUAACAAUGUAUUGACUACUAAACAGCUGAAUGAAGAAACAACCCUCUCCCAAUCUUCGUAUAUAGCAAUUAUUUGCACCACCACCACUUUGCAUACCAGCUGAAAAUUACUCUAUAUGUAUCAAAAAAUCUGUAAAUUAAUGUUUCUUGAUUAAAUGCAUUGGUAGCAUUAAAUGCACUGAUCAUUUAAAAAAAAUCAUCUUUUUACUUUUUUCUUUAUGUUCUUUAUGAAUAUUUAAUAUACCUGUAUGU
rnacentral:lncRNA from 1 species